UGCAUUUCAAUGGCUGGGAGAUCAGAUCCAGUCUCUCCCAAUCAUUAUUUUCUUCGGAUGUGUGAUGUCUAUUCUCUACUACCUGGGCCUUGUGCAGUGGGUGAUCCAGAAGAUUGCCUGGUUCCUGCAAAUCACCAUGGGUACCACAGCUGCAGAGACCCUGGCCGUGGCAGGAAACAUCUUUGUGGGAAUGUACUUUGCUGAAUGGCACCAACAUGCCUUCUUUCUCAGGCCCCUGGCAAGACAAGGAGUCCAGCCUCAGGAAUCUUGCUAAAUGCUGUGACCUCUAUACCAGCACUGUGUGUGCCUGAGGCUGGUGGGGCCAUUCCGUGACAGUUCUUAUAGAACAGAUUCGUAUUACCAAAUACAUGUUCAUGUACUUAGGCUUAUUCUCUGAGAACUGCACUAAACUCCACAAAAUGAAAGUCCUGAUCUCACUGUGGCUCUGUAUAAAAACCAGCAUCCACCUUUCCACUGGCAUGCCACAUAGUAGAUGUGAAAUUCAUUAUAGACCCUCUUGAGCCAAAGUAUGGUGGGAAUGUAGCUAAGGGGGAAAUAU
rnacentral:lncRNA from 1 species